rnacentral:rRNA from 1 species
AUUGAACGCUGGCGGCAGGCCUAACACAUGCAAGUCGAACGAGUGGCGGACGGGUGAGUAAUGUCUGGGAAAAUGCCUGAUGGAGGGGGAUAACUACUGGAAACGGUAGCUAAUACCGCAUACCAUCAGAUGUGCCCAGAUGGGAUUAGCUUGUUGGAGGGGUAACGGCUCACCAAGGCGACGAUCCCUAGCUGGUCUGAGAGGAUGACCAGCCACACCGGAACUGUGACCCGGUCCAGACUCCUACGGGAGGCCGCAGUGGGGAAUGUUGCACACUGGGCGCAAGCCUGAUGCAGCCAUGCCGCGUGUAUGAAGAAGGCCUUCGGGUUGUAAAGUACUUUCAGCGGGGAGGCUUUACCCGCAGAAGAAGCACCGGCUAACUCCGUGCCAGCAGCCGCGGUAAUAU